GCACCAUCCAGCUCAUUUGAUGUGCGUUGUCAACAAAGCGCGGUCUGGUCUGCUCUUGUCAACCUCACCAUGAAAAGAACUUCACUUCAAGAGCACCCUGACCUCCUACCCUGUGUUUUCCUGCCUCGACUUGAGGAGCGCCAUCAUAUUCACCUUUGGCUUACCUGGUGCCUGCCUCGCGUUACAGCAUGGCGCGUGCAUGAAGAGGAGACUGACGCUGCGAAAGGUGAGCAUGGCAAGUGUGUUGAGUGAUGGAAGCAUGCAGUUGAAUAAAAUUAAAGACAGAUGAACAGAAAGCAUCGUUUAUGUUUUCAUUUUUGUAUACAGAGAAUGUUUGACUAUGCAUUAAUAAGCAUGAUUGAGAUAUUCUCCUUGCUUUCUAUAUUUCAUUUGAAAGAAAUAGAAGAAUAGAAGGAAUAAAAAAAAACUUUAUAUUCGCCUUCCACAUUAAAAAGAAAACUUAUGCGACAACAACACGAUUUAACUUUCAUUCGCAUUCUUAUUUACUGUAGUUAUCUUU